UAGGGAAUCUUCCACAAUGGACGCAAGUUUGAUGGAGCAACGCCGCGUGAGUGAAGAAGGGUUUCGGCUCGUAAAGCUCUGUUGUUAAAGAAGAACGUGGGUAAGAGUAACUGUUUACCCAGUGACGGUAUUUAACCAGAAAGCCACGGCUAACUACGUGCCAG
rnacentral:rRNA from 1 species